rnacentral:rRNA from 1 species
AGAUCGGGCGUUCCCCUUCGGGGGACAGGGUGACAGGUGGUGCAUGGUUGUCGUCAGCUCGUGUCGUGAGAUGUUGGGUUAAGUCCCGCAACGAGCGCAACCCUCGACCUUAGUUGCCAGCAUUCAGUUGGGCACUCUAAGGUGACUGCCGGCUAAAAGUCGGAGGAAGUGGGGAUGACGUCAAAUCAUCAUGCCCCUUAUGACCUGGGCUACACACGUGCUACAAUGGGCGGUACAAAGGGUCGCGAACCCGCGAGGGGGAGCCAAUCCCAAAAAGCCGCUCUCAGUUCGGAUUGCAGGCUGCAACUCGCCUGCAUGAAGCCGGAAUCGCUAGUAAUCGCGGAUCAGCAUGCCGCGGUGAAUACGUUCCCGGGCCUU